rnacentral:rRNA from 1 species
AGUGAACGCUGGCGGUAGGCCUAACACAUGCAAGUCGAACGGCAGCACAGUAAGAGCUUGCUCUUACGGGUGGCGAGUGGCGGACGGGUGAGGAAUACAUCGGAAUCUACUUUUUCGUGGGGGAUAACGUAGGGAAACUUACGCUAAUACCGCAUACGACCUACGGUUGAAAGCAGGGGAUCUUCGGACCUUGCGCUGUUGAAUGAGCCGAUGUCGGAUUAGCUAGUUGGCGGGGUAAAGGCCCACCAAGGCGACGAUCCGUAGCUGGUCUGAGAGGAUGAUCAGCCACACUGGAACUGAGACACGGUCCAGACUCCUACGGGAGGCGGCAGUGGGGAAUAUUGGACAAUGGGCGAAAGCCUGAUCCAGCCAUACCGCGUGGGUGAAGAAGGCCUUCGGGUUGUAAAGCCCUUUUGUUGGGAAAGAAAAGCAGCAGGUUAAUACCCCGCUGUUCUGACGGUACCCAAAGAAUAAGCACCGGCUAACUUCGUG